ACUCUGGGAACUGGAGGGGCUGCGUUCUCGUUUCCGCUGCGCGUGGGGUGGCGGUGCGUGCUCGCUAAGGAUGCUCCGCGGGGCGGUCGGCGCUUGCCGCUGGGGCCUGAGAACCGGGAGGUGCGGGGGCGAGGCGAGGCGAGGCGAGUAAGGCGGCUGGCCGCUAAGGGGCGGGGCGGGGAGCGGUUGCUGGGAGAUAUGGCGGCGGGCCUGCCUCCCCCCGCAACCGCGUGCUCCCCGCCUUGGCCCAGUGCUGUGCGUGAGGGGAUCGGCCGUGCGCGUUGAUGAUCACCCAUCAGUCUGUCCAGACCAGAAGGAGAACCUUUUGGAAGAUGCGAAAGAAGUGGAAGUUUGGCAGUGGCCAAAGCAAGCAACGGUGCAACCACGUGACGUCGCAGGAGUACGAGUGUGUUUGUGCAGUAGCCAUGGGUGAUCUUCCUGGCAUCACAGGGAUAGGCAUGUGGUGAAAGCUUCUAAGCAUGUGAAGAGUGUGUACUAGAAGGUGACGAAGUACUGACACCCCAGCUCUCCUGCAGUUUUAUGAGGAAGAAUUGUUAGAACCAGCCUGAAACCAGUGGCAAUGCAAGACUACUCCCUAAGAAACAAAAAGCUGUUAAGGACUUGGGAAUGUUAAGCCUUUAAAUGCUUACACUAACACGAGUUAUUUCUAACUGUAUUAGAACAGUGCUUAUGUAGACAUAAAAAAAAAAAAUAAAGAUUUAUGUUUCUGUUAU
rnacentral:lncRNA from 7 species